CGAGACUCCGAACUGCAAAUGACCCCGCCAAAAGCUCGAGGCAAUUGAUGUGUAACUCCUGUUCGUCUGGGGACCAUUUCCCUCCGGUGGAGAUAGGACCGCAACGUGCGCCCCAGCCCAGCAGACUUGCGUCCGAUUCCACGACGAAGUCCGGCCUCGUCCCAAAGAUUGCUCUUCCGUUCCAUGCUUCCAUGUGCUGCAGCCAC